ensembl:ncRNA lncRNA:CR45526 long non-coding RNA:CR45526
GCUGAGUUGGCCCCUGAUCCCAAACCCACCCAAUCCGCAGCCAAUUGCUUUGCCAAGUCGGUAGAUAAUGAGCAGCGUAAUUGGCGCAUUUGGCAAGGACUCGAAGGACUAACAAAGGCGGAGGAGCAGCUGCUCUGCCAAUUGGCACACAAUGGAGCGGCACAUGCCACACUCUGGCGAAAAGAGAGAAAAACAAAAUCAAAUGCCCGAUGAAUAGAAAAUCGGGGGACUGCAGGGAAGAAGUUGACGCUGCGAG